AUUUCAUCUGCACAGAAAAAGAACUCUGGUAGCUUCUGCCUGACUUUCAGUAGGAAAUGCUCUAAAAACAAGCAACAGCUAUUUUGAGGACCGACUUUCUAAAAUUAUAUUCAGGAUUAAGCGGCUGUAACAUUGCCGUUCGCCGCGGAGGCUCCUGGUUUCAGCAUGUCUCCUUGGUUCCCGGCCAGCCUGGGUGUUCAGGUGGCAGCUGUGCCUGGGAGUGCCUCUCCAGCCCGCAUUCCUUGGCCAUGAAUUUUGCAGCCCUGCUUAUCUGAUGAAGACCUCCCCAGGAUGGCUUUCUCCAUGCCAUGGGGAACGUGGCUCCUAGUGAUCUUGCUUUUCCGUCUCAUCCUAUCAGCAAUUCUACCAGCAAUGAAUUGACUAUUUGUCUCUUUUUCUUUGGCUCCCGUCAGAGUUACUUGCAUUGGAUCAAUUAGAUCACAUACUUCUCCCCAAACCAAUCACCAAGUCAGGAAGAUGGGAGGCAUCUCUACUCUUUUCCAGCUUGCUAAGGACACAAUGGGGAGAUGAUGAGCCAGGAAGAUUGCUCUCAUUGGAACCCAAAUGCUGGCACCCUGAUCUUGGACGUCCAGUCACCUGAACUAUGAAAAAAUAAACUUCUGUUGUUUAAGCA